CAACACCAACUUUCAAUUUACUGACAAACUUCAUUAACAUUCUUUUUCAAUUUUAUUUUGGAGAUCCGCUGAAAAAAUAGAAUGGAGGAAGUUGGGACGGUCUCAACAGAGGAUUGUAGAAUGUUCGUAACUGGCUAUGUAGAGUAUUUGAGUGAAGGAAUUGUAGUGUCUUCAGAUGAAUUUGAAGCAGAAUCUCUCGAUUGAGAUACACUUUACUCCCAUGAAAUUACGGAGCAGUCAAGGCAAAGAAAGGUUAUGUUAGUGACAACGAAGAUCCUUCAAGACCAAGGUCAAAUUAUGUUUCACGCCUUGAUGAAUCAACAAUAGUUAGCGUAGAACAAUUUUUAAGAUCCCUCUGUUCAAGAACAGCAUUUUUUUUGUAAAUUUUUUUUUUUUGUAAAAUAUUGAUGAUGGUGUGUUUUGAGACUACAUGCUUAAAGACUUUGCAUUUUAUGUUGUACAAACUGAUCAUAAUAUAUUAACUUAUUUUUUCGUA